AACACGGACCAAGGAGUCUAACAUGUGCGCGAGUCAUUGGGUUUUUUACUAAGCCUAAAGGCGCAAUGAAAGUGAAGGUCGUCCUUAGCGUCGACCGAGGGAGGAUGGCUCGCGUCACGAUGCGAGCCCGCACUCCCGGGGCGUCUCGCGCUCAUUGCGAGCAGAGGCGCACCCAGAGCGUACACGUUGGGACCCGAAAGAUGGUGAACUAUGCCUGGUCAGGACGAAGUCAGGGGAAACCCUGAUGGAGGUCCGUAGCGAUUCUGACGUGCAAAUCGAUCGUCGGAACUGGGUAUAGGGGCGAAAGACUAAUCGAACCAUCUAGUAGCUGGUUCCUUCCGA
rnacentral:rRNA from 1 species